rnacentral:rRNA from 1 species
CCCAGACUCCUACGGGAGGCAGCAGUGAGGAAUAUUGGUCAAUGGGCUUACGCCUGAACCAGCCAAGUCGCGUGAGGGAAGACUGCCCUAUGGGUUGUAAACCUCUUUUGUCAGGGAGCAACGCCGGCUACGUGUAGCCGGACUGAGAGUACCUGAAGAAAAAGCAUCGGCUAACUACGUGCCAGCAGCCGCGGUAAUACGUAGGGAGCAAGCGUUGUCCGGAAUUACUGGGCGUAAAGGGCGCGUAGGUGGGCGCUUAAGUCAGGUGUGAAAACUCCGGGCUCAACCUGGAGACUGCACUUGAAACUGGGUGUCUUGAGGGCAGGAGAGGAAAGUGGAAUUCCUAGUGUAGCGGUGAAAUGCGUAGAUAUUAGGAGGAACACCAGUGGCGAAGGCGACUUUCUGAACUGUACCUGACGCUGAGGCGCGAAAGCGUGGGUAGCAAACAGGAUUAGAUACCCCCGUAG